rnacentral:rRNA from 1 species
UACGUAGGGUGCGAGCGUUUGUCCGGAAUUAUUGGGCGUAAAGAGCUUGUAGGCGGUUUGUCGCGUCUGCUGUGAAAAUCCGGGCUCAACCCCGGACUUGCAGUGGGUACGGGCAGACUAGAGUGUGGUAGGGGAGACUGGAAUUCCUGGUGUAGCGGUGAAAUGCGCAGAUAUCAGGAGGAACACCGAUGGCGAAGGCAGGUCUCUGGGCCACUACUGACGCUGAGAAGCGAAAGCAUGGGGAGCGAACAGG